GAAGUGUUUAAAGACAGGUUUUACAGACAACCAUGAAGUUAUUCGGAAUCAUAGUCCUUGUUGCUUUGUUGAUGGUAGCAUCAGUUACAAUGCCAGUUGCUGCCUCUGGAAAAUAUAGGAAAGGAUAUAAAGGGUAUAAAGGAAGUCAUUCUAGUGGAGGACAUUCUGGUGGAGGGCACAGUGGGCAUGGCGGUAAAUAUCACGGUGGAAGUUACCGAUAUAGAGGAUGAUACUUUGAAAUCAGAAGUAAUUGUUCUUAUUUAAAAUGAAUAAA